CUUUGACCUGAGGAUCUCAAAGUGCUUUACAAACACUAAUGAAUUAAUCCUCACAACACCCCAGUGAGGUGGUGGCUUGUUUAAAGUCAAAUGAGAUGUGAAAAAAUGGCUGGAAAUUUCAGAAAAAUGGAGCAAAUAUCUGCUUGGAGAUGAGUUCAGAAGGUGUUCAGAUUAAGUGACAAGUAGUUGUUGAAGUAGCUCGUUUCCUACUGGCCCUGGGUUGCUCAAACCUGCAGUUUUCUGGGAGAGUUUCUGGUCGUCAUGGAUAUAGAAGAAACCUUUGGAAACAUACUUAUAAAAGAUAAGUAAUAUUAAUAUGAUGGUAUUCUCUUUUUAACUUAUUUGGAAGGGUUAGAAUGGGGCACAGAAUCAUUGACAAUCUGACGUCUAAAGGAACAAAAUCUGUUUUGGGUGAUGUGGCAGCAUCCUUUUAACGAAUUGCUUAUCUGUGCCAGUCAGAACAACAAAUGUAGAACUGUCAGUGAAGAAUGGUUGGAGGCAUCUGUGCUUCUUGGCUAAGGGGAAGAGAAUAAUGGACAGAGAGCUUUGUGUAUACAGUUGUUUUUGUAAUCCUUGCAGUUGAACCCAUUGCCUGUGCACAGAAUUCUGUCCCCCAAUCCUCACCCCCUUUACCUUUUGUGGUGUUGUCUUGUGAGACAGGUUCUGGAUAGGUUGCCCAGCCUGUCCUACUGUACCUGGUUUGGAUGGAGUGUCUUGAUAUUUAUGGUUUCAUGUGAAAAAAACAUAUGCAUUUAUUUUGUAUGUGGGAACUUGGUAAGUUCACAAAUGGGCUGGAUGCUCAUUUUUCAGGAAUAUGAUACAAAGAAUGCAUGAGUAGGGCCAGGGAUUUAGAUUUAGUUCAGUGGUUCCAGGGCCUGCCUCGCAAAUGCAAGGACC